CUGGGCGCCCGCACGCGGCUGCGGCGCUUCUCCGCGGAGCUCGCCCGGCGAUGCGCGCCUAGAGCGGAGCGCGGCGCCCAGCAUCGCCCGGCAUCGCCUGGCAUCGCGCAGCGGCGCCACACCCCGGCCGGACGCAGCGCCCCAGGCGGCCCCAGCCCGCACCCGCCCCCCGCAGCCGCCCAUUCCGGAAUGAUCGCCUGAGCCCCGGCGCCGGCGCGGGACCCGAGCCCCGGAGCUGCGCUUGGAGAAGAGUUUCCCCCGCGCCCGCCGCCCCAUGGCCGCGGCUCCCCCGGCGCUCUACUCUAUCUGAACAGUCUUGGGGCUCGCCCUCGCCGCCUGCGCCCGGCCUGCGGGGAUGACCGCGGCGCGCCCGCGCCCCUGAGCCGACCCGGCGCCCAUGUAGAGAUGACAAAGCGCGGCCGGGGCGGCGCGAUCCGGGGCAUGGGCGCCUGAUGGGCUCCGCGCCCCGGCUGCCCGCCGGCACCAGCUCCGAACCAGGGUGAAGUCAAGCAGGAAGUCUCCCCGUGGAACUACUAUGAGGCCAGAAACCUUGCUGCUAUGUCUCACACUGCUGCACUCCGCUGGGGCCGGCUUCCCAGAAGAUUCUGAGCCAAUCAGUAUUUCGCAUGGCAACUAUACAAAACAGUAUCCGGUGUUUGUGGGCCAUAAGCCAGGACGGAACACCACACAGAGGCACAGGCUGGACAUCCAGAUGAUUGUGAUUAUGAACAGAACCCUCUACAUCGCUGCCAGGGACCAUAUUUAUACUGUGGACAUAGAUACACCCCACACAGAAGAAAUUUACUGUAGCAAAAAACUGACAUGGAAAUCUAGGCAGGCUGACGUGGACACGUGCAGAAUGAAGGGGAAACACAAGGAUGAGUGCCACAACUUUAUCAAAGUUCUUCUCAAGAAGAACGACGAUACGCUGUUUGUCUGCGGAACCAAUGCCUUCAACCCUUCCUGUAAAAACUACAAGAUCGACACUUUGGAGCCUUUUGGGGAUGAAUUCAGUGGGAUGGCCAGAUGCCCGUAUGAUGCCAAGCAUGCCAACAUCGCACUGUUUGCAGAUGGAAAACUGUACUCAGCCACGGUGACGGACUUCCUGGCCAUCGACGCGGUCAUCUACCGAAGUCUGGGAGACAGCCCCACCCUGAGGACUGUCAAGCAUGACUCGAAAUGGUUGAAAGAGCCGUACUUCGUCCAAGCAGUGGAUUACGGGGAGUACAUCUACUUCUUCUUCAGGGAAAUCGCCGUGGAAUACAACACCAUGGGCAAGGUGGUGUUCCCCAGGGUGGCCCAGGUCUGUAAGAACGACAUGGGUGGGUCGCAGCGGGUGUUGGAGAAGCAGUGGACAUCCUUCCUGAAGGCUCGCCUCAACUGCUCCGUGCCAGGCGACUCCCACUUUUAUUUCAACAUUCUCCAGGCCGUCACAAACGUGAUCCGUGUUCAUGGCCGUGACGUUGUCCUGGCUACCUUCUCCACGCCUUACAACAGCAUCCCUGGCUCUGCAGUCUGCGCCUAUGACAUGCUAGACAUCGCCAAUGUGUUUACCGGGAGAUUCAAGGAACAGAAGUCCCCUGACUCCACCUGGACGCCCGUUCCCGAUGAGCGAGUCCCCAAGCCCAGGCCAGGUUGCUGUGCAGGCUCCUCGUCCUUAGAGAAAUACGCGAGCUCCAGCGAGUUCCCCGACGACACCUUGAACUUCAUCAAGACGCACCCACUAAUGGACGAGGCGGUCCCCUCCAUCGUCCACAGACCCUGGUUUCUGAGAACCAUGGUGAGAUACCGCCUGACCAAAAUUGCCGUGGACACGGGCGCAGGGCCCUACCAGAACCACACUGUGAUCUUCCUGGGGUCCGAGAAGGGAAUCAUCCUGAAAUUCUUGGCCCGGGUAGGAAGCACUGGUUUCCUAAAUGAUAGCCUUUUCCUGGAGGAGAUGAACGUUUACAACCCAGAAAAGUGCAGCUACGAUGGGGUAGAAGACAAGAGGAUCAUGGGUAUGCAGCUGGACAGAGCCAGCAGGGCCCUGUACGUUGCAUUCUCUACCUGUGUGAUAAAGGUUCCUCUUGGCCGAUGCGAACGACACGGCAAGUGUAAAAAAACCUGCAUUGCCUCCCGGGACCCGUACUGUGGCUGGCUGAAGGAGGCCGGCUCCUGCGGGCAGCUGUCGCCAUUCGGCAGACUGGCAUUUGAGCAGGACAUAGAACAUGGCAAUACAGACGGCCUGGGAGACUGUCAUAAUUCCUUCGUGGCCCUGAAUGACAUUUCAACUCCUCCACCGGAUCAUGAAAUGUCUUACAACGCAGUUUAUGGUCAGUUUAAUUGAUGCAUAUACAAUAUUCUUUUUUAAUUCUUUAAAUCCACUUUAACCCUACGGUAGUUCAUAGUCUUCAUUCCUAAACAUCACAGGCCAGAUCGUUUUUUGUUAGUUCAGGGCCCCAAUUCACUAAAAUUAUUUAUAGGUCUAGACUCUGUGAUGCUUCGGUUAUCCCCCUGCUUGUAAGACACGGUUGACGUGUGAGUCCUAAAUUUUUAAUCCACAUGACAUGAAAUAUGCCAACGUCUAGGAAUUUGAUGAACAGAUUUAAUGAGUUCUUGAGGGAGAAGAAACUGGAUGUGCCUAAAUCUAUCCAAUAAGGGACUCGCGUUUAUAGCUACUAGAUUGUAGCUCCUUAUCAGGUAGUGAAUGCUACCUACCAGGCAUUUAUCCUGCCUGUCAAGGUAAAAUACUUCCACAAGAUGAAGUCUACAUAAGGUACAGGCACCCGGUUCUUAUGAAGCAAACCUUUCCACUGUAGUUUCAAACUGGCCCUCGAAAUUUAAGCUCACAAAGAGUGGGUGAACAUCUAAGCACAUUUUCAGCAAGAUUCCUUUAGGAUACGUUUGAGGAAGAGGGACACACUUGAAGGUAGAUAAGUAGGAUUUAUCCCAUCGUCCACAAUCUGAAAUACACAGCCCUAUGUUUAUUACUCAAAAGUAGAAGCAUAGCUGUUCUAUUCAGAGUACCCUCCCUCCCACCAAAGGUCGAUGGACGUGUGCUUUUUUAAGAAUAAGACCUCCGUCAGCAAACUUAACCUUCUGAGUUCUCGUGAGAGCUACAAGCUCAGCCAUUUGUAGAGGCUGUAUGUUUAAAAGACGUAAUAAAGCAGUAGUUACAGGACAGUCAUCCAACAGAGAGGCAGGUAAUUUUAAAAAGUGGAAGAGAUUAAAGAAAGGAAGAAAAAUCAAAAUGAUCUGGCUUCAAGAUGGCCACGAAGGUGCCCGGGCAUUCCCCGUAGGUAAAUGCACACUUCCUGGGUCUGAUGAGCAAAAGGACGAAAGCCUCUUUGAAGUCUUGAAGACUGUCUUACACACUGGAGCUGUGUGGACAGUACAGGUGUCUUCCUGGCUUCUCCUGACAUGAGGCAAGGGUGCAGGAAAGGAGCCCUCAGAAUUCAUCCUCUUUCACAUCCUUUCAUCUGCAAUUCAAACUAGAAAAUCGAACUCCAAAGACUAGGGGGAAGGGGGAAAUGACUUGGGAGGCAAAUGUCAUCGAGCUUCACCUGAGCCCUUGGAAAGAAAAGCCAGUUAGCAUCUGCCCUUUGCCAGCAACCUAACUUCACGGUCAUUUCCAAGGAUUGAACCAUCUCCAUUGGAUAUUGAGAAAUUCAGACCCUGAAACGAAUUGAACUGGCGAUCUCAUCAGUUGUACCGAGACUCAUUUUUUUUUUAACUCCCAGGGAAUUCUUUCAUAGAGAUCGAAUAAUUAAGCCCAGGGAUGCUCUUUAGGAGCCGAAGUCAUUCUGCACCCCGUGUAUCUGAUUUCUUUUUCAAAGGGAAGCCAGUUAUUAAUUCUCCCAUAUUAACACUUGAAAGGACAGGACCCAUUUCCCCCACAGCUCUUGAUCUGUGGUGUCUGUGAUGGAACACCAGAGGAGUGCUGGCUCUUUCAGCUAAUAAUGAUCCUGUCUGUUUGGGGCUGCAUCUUCUUAGGACGUGGUUAAGUGAUUAAUGGGCCUUCCAAGCAGUACUUAAAAGCUAUAGAAGACUUGUAGGUAGAUAGACAGGAAGGGUUAAGUGGAUGGUUGGACAGAUAGACAGACCGACGGAUGGAUGGACGGAUAGAUGAAUGGAGAGAUAGACAAAUAGAUGGAUGAAUAGAUAAUUAUGAUAUUAUGUAACAUUGACUUUUACAGGAAGUGCUUUCUUGCAGUUAAUAAGCCGUGAAGAUAUUUGAUUAAUUGAUCCAGCAUUUACUUGUUGAUUUCCUUCUUUAUGCCAGCCUCUUGGAAUAGGCAAAAGAUUUGUAGCAUUAGAGGAAGGACAAAAUGUCUUUUUUUUUUUUUUAAUGAGCACAAAGAUAUGGAAGUCAAAAGUGCACCUGCAUUGUUUCUGUCAAGUGCAGAUCCCGUAGACUAGCAAACCACAAAACCAGACCAGGAAAAGGAUCCGAAUUUUACGUUGGCAAAAGCUCAGGGCAACACUUGCUACCUACACAAGAACCGCUUUUAGUGAAUUGGGCCCUGAAUGUGUUCCUUCUGUCUUCCUCUCUGUAUCGAUUUCGUGUCUCCUUUUUUACCUCUAAUUGGCUACAAUCAUUGCUACUAGAUUAGAUGGAAGGGCUGCUAACCUGUAGAAUCACAAUGACUUGUAGAUGUAGAGAAACAACAUGGUGCAUUAAAGUUAACUUUCUAAUAUGUCUGCCUGUUCCUUUAUUUCUGAAGGAAAAUAUUGUGUGAGUUCUCUUUAUGAGAUGUAGCCUUCCCUAUCAGAGUGUAUGUCAAUCUGUUGGCAUACCCUAAUAGAGAAAAACAUCUCAAGAAUGAUUUCCCCACAUCACCAGUGCUAUUUUUACAGUCUCUUAGGCAAUGCCUGGUAACAAUAGUGCCUCUAAAAAUCAAAUGAUAAGAAGAUAUAUGAAUACCUUUUUUAUAACAAUUCUUAAGGAUAGAAAGCUUUUAAUGCACAUUCUGAUCUCAAAUUAAGGAUCACUGCUUAGUUGGGUAGUGGUGUGGGGUUGGGUUUUUGUUUUGUUUUGUUUUUGUCAGGCAUGGAGCUUGAAUUCAAGACCAGGGCACCACCAUCCCUGAACUAAUUUUGCUCAAAACUAGUACUGCUC